rnacentral:rRNA from 1 species
GAUGAACGCUGGCGGCGUGCCUAAUACAUGCAAGUCGAGCGAACGGACGAGAAGCUUGCUUCUCUGAUGUUAGCGGCGGACGGGUGAGUAACACGUGGAUAACCUACCUAUAAGACUGGGAUAACUUCGGGAAACCGGAGCUAAUACCGGAUAAUAUUUUGAACCGCAUGGUUCAAAAGUGAAAGACGGUCUUGCUGUCACUUAUAGAUGGAUCCGCGCUGCAUUAGCUAGUUGGUAAGGUAACGGCUUACCAAGGCAACGAUGCAUAGCCGACCUGAGAGGGGCGAGCGCCACAAAGGGAACGGAACACCGGCCAAGCCCCCGAGGGGGGGAACAAGGAGGAAUUCUCCCCAAAGGGCGAAAGGCCGGAGGAAGAAACGCCGGGGGAAGAAUAAAGGUCUUAGAACCUAAAAACUUUUUUAUUAGGGAAAAACAUUGGGGAAAGAAACUGUGCACAUCUGGAGGUACCCUAAUAAAAAGACCAGGCCAAACUAGGGC